CCAGCCAUGCCGCGUGCAGGAUGACGGUCCUAUGGAUUGUAAACUGCUUUUAUACAGGAAGAAACACUCCCUCGUGAGGGAGCUUGACGGUACUGUAAGAAUAAGGAUCGGCUAACUCCGUGCCAGCAGCCGCGGUAAUACGGAGGAUCCAAGCGUUAUCCGGAAUCAUUGGGUUUAAAGGGUCCGUAGCGGUCUUAUAAGUCAGUGGUGAAAUCUCCCCGCUCAACAGGGAAACGGCCAUUGAUACUGUAGGACUUGAAUUAUUAGGAAGUAACUAGAAUAUGUAGUGUAGCGGUGAAAUGCUUAGAGAUUACAUGGAAUACCAAUUGCGAAGGCAGGUUACUACUAAUGGAUUGACGCUGAUGGACGAAAGCGUGGGUAGCGAACAGGAUUAGAUACCCUGGUAGUCCACGCCGUAAACGAUGGAUACUAGCUGUUGGAAGCAAUUCAGUGGCUAAGCGAAAGUGAUAAU
rnacentral:rRNA from 1 species